GACGAACGCUGGCGGCGUGCUUAACACAUGCAAGUCGAACGGAAAGGCCCUGCUUGCAGGGUACUCGAGUGGCGAACGGGUGAGUAACACGUGGGUGAUCUGCCCUGCACUUCGGGAUAAGCUUGGGAAACUGGGUCUAAUACCGGAUAGGACCGCACUUUAGUGUGUGUGGUGGAAAGUUUUUUCGGUGUAGGAUGAGCUCGCGGCCUAUCAGCUUGUUGGUGGGGUAAUGGCCUACCAAGGCGGCGACGGGUAGCCGGCCUGAGAGGGUGUACGGCCACAUUGGGACUGAGAUACGGCCCAGACUCCUACGGGAGGCAGCAGUGGGGAAUAUUGCACAAUAGGCGCAAGCCUGAUGCAGCGACGCCGCGUGGGGGAUGAAGGCCUUCGGGUUGUAAACUCCUUUCGCUAGGGACGAAGCUUUUUGUGACGGUACCUAGAGAAGAAGCACCGGCUAACUACGUG
rnacentral:rRNA from 1 species